UACGAAGGGGGCUAGCGUUGCUCGGAAUCACUGGGCGUAAAGCGCACGUAGGCGGAUUGCUAAGUCAGGGGUUAAAUCCUGGAGCUCAACUCCAGAACUGCCUUUGAUACUGGCGAUCUUGAGUCCGGGAGAGGUGAGUGGAACUGCGAGUGUAGAGGUGAAAUUCGUAGAUAUUCGCAAGAACACCAGUGGCGAAGGCGGCUCACUGGCCCGGUACUGACGCUGAGGUGCGAAAGCGUGGGGAGCAAACAGG
rnacentral:rRNA from 1 species